rnacentral:rRNA from 1 species
AGAGUUUGAUCCUGGCUCAGAGUGAACGCUGGCGGCGUGGAUUAGGCAUGCAAGUCGAACGAUCCCGCAAGGGAUAGUGGCAAAAGGGUGAGUAACAAGUGAGCAAUCUGCCCUCGAGUGGGGAACAACCUUGGGAAACCGAGGCUAAAACCGCAUAAGACCACGGCUCGGCAUCGAGCUGUGAUAAAAAGUGGGGACCCUGCAAAAUUGCGCAAGCAAUUUUGCGAGGCCCAUUUCUUGAGGAUGAGCUCGCUUCCUAUCAGCUUGUUGGCGGGGUAAUGGCCCACCAAGGCUUUUGACGGGUAGCUGGUCUGAGAGGAUGGUCAGCCACAUUGGGACUGAGACACUGCCCAGACUCCUACGGGAGGCUGCAGUCGAGGAUAUUUAGCAAUGCCCGAAAGGGUGACUAUGCGACGCCGCGUGCGCGAUGAAGGUUUUCGGAUUGUAAAGCGCUGUCAGCCGGGAGGAAUCUCUGGAGGCUUAAUAAGCUUGCAGGGUGACAGUACCGGCAGAGGAAGCCACGGCUAACUCCGUGCCAGCAGCCGCGGUAAUACGGAGGUGGCAGGCGUUACUCGGAUUGAUUGGGUGUAAAGGGUGUGUAGGUGGUAGAUUAAGUCGAAUGUGAAAUCCCUUGGCUUAACCAAGGAACUGCAUUUGAAACUGAUCUGCUUGAGCGUCAGAGAGGAAGAUGGAAUUCACGGUGUAACAGUGAAAUGUGUAGAUAUCGUGAGGAACACCAGUGGCGAAGGCGAUCUUCUGGCUGACUGCUGACACUGAAACACGAGAGCAAGGGGAGCAAACAGGAUUAGAUACCCUGGUAGUCCUUGCCGUAAACGAUGUACACUAGGUGUCGGGCCCUCUGGGUUCGGUGCCGGAGUUAACACAUUAAGUUA